rnacentral:lncRNA from 1 species
GCCGAUGAUAGAUUCAACCAACUUCAACAAAUGAUCAUGACCUAACAGUAAUCCCUCAUCAGGUUAGAAGCACAAAUAGAUCAAUUAACUGAGUCUACCAUGAGGAGAAAACUAGAUCAAUUGCCAAACGAACCAAUACCAAAUUUUGAAAAUGACCCACCCAUCCACCAACUACCUGGACCUAGUCAUCAAUCCAAUGUCCCACUU